UGGACAUUUUUUAUUUUGGUGGGUUUGGGGUGGGGGGGGGGUCAAUUUUGGGAAUGGGAGAUUGCUUCGCACAACCCCUCGGGAAUCAAUCUCCCAUUCCCCGUUCCCAAAUUCGGUGGACCCCACAAUUAUGAUUACAAUUCUUGCCUUCAUUUUGCAAAGUAAACGCCAUCAAUAAUUCUUAUUCCGGAUUCUAAUUUCUUAAUUCGAGAAGUAAAUGCACCAUCAAUUUAGUUCUAUUAUUAACUAGAAUAGAAUCAAAUCAGAUAAUGCCCAUCUUUUUAUAUAAUAAUGCAUACCUACCAAUUUCUCUGCAAACUAAGUUCAUAGAAAGCUGACAUCACAUAUGUAUAUGAGUACCAAAGUGAAAAUUUGUAUUGUUUAAUCUUUGAUCAUGAAAGCAUGCUUAGCCUACUCUUACAAAAGGAUAUAUCCCUACUGAUUAAGUGGAUUAUCAAAUAUCACAAAUAUUAAUGUCACCAUGAGCUUAAUGGAGAAGAUUUGAAUGUGAUUAACUAUUUGGACCGGAUGGUGACUUUUAUGAUUAAAGAACUAAAAUUGAACAGAAGUAUUUGCCAAGAUUAAGAAGAUUGAUACUGAUUAGAGCUUUACUAAACGCUAAUAAAUUUGGACCUCAAAUAUAUUUUAAAAAUGAUUAUUCACACUGAUAUUAACCAACAACGUGCUCUACAAGAAUUAAUUAAUUAAUGUCUUCUAGUUAGAUGUGAUGAUAUAUAGGGCUUGCAGUCAAUAUAAAUUUCUUGCAAGGCAAGUUAAAAAUCAGUAAUCAGGUCAAAUAAGCUGAACAUUUUUCCACCCACAUAUCAUUUAUUAGGACAAACUAUGAACUUAGAUGAUAGGAAUUAUUCUUCUCCAUUUAAGAAAUAACCGCACCAUAGUUUCUUGUAUUGACCAAUAUGGUCGCUUGUGAUGUGACGGAAAAGAGCAGAUAAGUGUGCAAAAUGGAGCACAACCUACAACUAAGGUUCUUUCUCAACAUCCCUAUUGCCUUCAUAUAUAUAUUGGAUGCCAUGCCUGAUGUCAGCGGUGUGGCCUCAAAGCUCAAUUGAGUAAAACUGUGGACUGUGGUUAUAUGUAUGUAUGUGUGUGUGUGUAUAUAUAUAUAUAUAUAUAUAGUGGAAUGUUAAAUCAUUCGAUCCGUGUGGUUUUGAUGAAUGCAAAUGGGUCAUGCCCUGAAAACUAUUCAAUAUUUAGUUGACUCCACAGCAUUCCAUUAAGUGUACCUUUGAAAAAUAAACGGAGUCUAGAUUAUGAGUGAGGGGAAAGGUACCCUACUGCCCAUCCCUUUUGAUGGGGAUAUACCAUCUAAAGCUAAAAGCUUACGGCAAUUAAGAGAAACCUAAUUAUUUUCUUAUUGUCAUACAAGCCACGUUAAAAUGCUAGUAACUUUCUUAGUCAGAGAGACGGACCGGCCUUGUUGUUCAAUCUAACAAAUAUUCACAAUCCAAGUUGGUCGAAGGAAGUGCAAUCUUCGCACAUACCAUUGCAAUUUGCUGACGAUGACAGUUAAUUUCAUCUUGCUCGUCUUGAUAUUCACCAACAAGUACUUCUUCGAAUCUUGUUCAAUGAUAAGAGAAAGAGAAUCACUAUUAUAAGAAGAGAAACAAUGUCAUAAACGACGCAUGUCUAAAGGUUAACUAAUGACAAAAUUAAAUUCGAAGAUUACCCAUUAUAUUAAUUUGCUGCAGAUACUAAACUUGCCAAUGUAUUCAGCGAUUCUAUAAGUUGGCUUCUCAUCGUGAACGAAGUUGUUAGUUAAUUGUUAUAUAGUGAGAGUUUUAAUUAGGUGGACGGAUAUACCAUAUAUAUCAUGUAUGCAUUCAUUAAUAAAGAGAAAAUUGCUACUUGAACAACAACAAGACAAUAGAAAGACAAAAUAUGACUGCGGUUUAUGUCACUAUUCAUGCUACAAUACCAUUGUUUCUAUCUUCGUAUAAUUCAAAUAGCAAUAGCAUUCUCCUACUAAAUAACUGUAUGCAUAUUUGAAAUUAAUGGCCAUGAGAGCAAUUAGGAUAAACGACGGAGAUUGGAAGAGAAUCCAAUUAUUCAAAUAUAUAGCAUGAUUUUAUUAGAAAAAAAGUAUUGAGGUUGACAAUAAGACAGUUUUAUCUACCUUUCCGCUUUAUAUGAUAUAAGAUUUUCAAUCGGGUACAUCUUGAUUAAGUCAUGCUGACAGGGCUUACACUAAAAUUUUAAAAAAAUUAAUAAAUGCCAGCACGCUGGCAUGUCUUAAACUAGCAUUAUUAAAUUAAAUCCAAAAGUUUUUGCUAAUGAUGGGCAUAAGCAUCCAGCAAUUUUGCCCGGACGUUGUAUAUUGGCAUAUAAAAUAAAAGGUUGAUUAUUUCUCAACUUUUUCUCCACAUCUAUAAUUAGACUAGCUCCAUCAUGAUUCAUGAGGAAAUUUUAAAUAGAGAAUAGAGAAUACUACUUUAUUUUAUACACUCAUAUGAUAAAUUUUAAAAAAGAAAAAAAAUAUUUAGUGUACACACUCUAUCCAAUAUUAAAAUUAUCCUCUGUAAAUCUUAUUCAAAUUACAUAAUUAUUUUCUUUCUGUACAGCAUAAGAAUAUUUAUCAAAGCUAGAAAAAAAAAAAUUCGGUUGAGCUCAUUUAGAAACUUUUAUUCUUCUCUCAUUUUCCCUAAAUUAUAUUCUUCCCUCAUGUUAGUUGAGUGAUCAAAAUAAAAAAUAUUUUAUUAAGUUUUGUUAACUUGUCCUUAAUAGUAUUUUAUAUUAGUGUGAUUUUAAUAACAUAAAAAUUUUGUAUAUAUUUAAAAUUGGAGAGUCUUCUCAACUAUCUAAUCUAUUUAUUCAUUAAUAAAUAUUUCACUUCCUUUAAGAAAAACUUAUAUUCAAUUUGAAGUGAGAUUGAAGAUGAAUCAAAACAAAUCAAGAUACAAAUAUAAAGAAGACAUGGAAUCAAUUCCAAUCUACUUACUGGAGGGUCCCAUUGGCGUGCAUCCAAUAGAAAUUGAUCCUACACGUUUGUCAAUCUUCCUUAUGAGGAGCCAAAUGUAGACCUUUCUACUGUCUUUUUACUCUGCUAUGAAAUUAAUCGUAAAAUUGGAAAAGAUAAGCUUAAAAAAAAGGUGAUCAAUUGCUAACGAAAUAUGCUAAAAUUUUGUAGGAGAGAUUAAUAGUUUAUAGAUGUAAGAGAAAAUAAAAAAAUUUAAUGAAGAUGGAGGACUAUUUUGACUGUUGUUAGAUUGUGUAGAGUAAAAAUUAAUUUUGAAAUUUUUUAGCAAAUGCAUGUAGAAAGUACAAUAUUUUUAAAGUAAAAUUUAGAGUG
rnacentral:lncRNA from 1 species